UAGGUGAACCUGCGGAAGGAUCAUUAACGAGUUUUUGAAACGGGUUGUAGCUGGCUUUCAAAACGAAAGCAUGUGCACGCCUGACUCAAUCCACUCUUAAACCUCUGUGCACUUACUGUAGGCUUAGGUAAUAGAGGGGCUUGUAAAAGUCCUGAUAGAGCCUGGUCUAUGCUUUUACAAACGCUUUAGUCUAAGAAUGUUACUCGCGUUUAACGCAAUAAAUACAACUUUCAGCAACGGAUCUCUUGGCUCUCGCAUCGAUGAAGAACGCAGCGAAAUGCGAUAAGUAAUGUGAAUUGCAGAAUUCAGUGAAUCAUCGAAUCUUUGAACGCACCUUGCGCUCCCUGGUAUUCCGGGGAGCAUGCCUGUUUGAGUAUCAUGGAAUUCUCAACCUUCAGUACUUUUUUGUAUUCGAAGGCUUGGACUUGGAGGCUUGUGCUGGCUCUUUGUUAGUCGGCUCCUCUGAAAUACAUUAGCGUGAAUCACUAUGGAUCGCUUCGGUGUGAUAAUUAUCUGCGCCGUGGUCGUGAAGUAUUAAUUCAAGUUCGCGCUUCUAAUCGUCCUUUCAAUGGGACAAUUAACCUUGAACUUUUGAUCUCAAAUCAGGUAGGACUACCCGCUGAACUUAAGCAUAUCAAUAAGCGGAGGA
rnacentral:rRNA from 1 species